rnacentral:lncRNA from 10 species
UAUAGUCCCAGCUACCUGAGAGGCUGAUCAAGAUCAUCCUGGCUAACACGGUGAAACCCCGUCUCUACUAAAAAUACAAAAAAUUAGCCAGUUUGUCAAGGAUGUCUGUUCUGUAAGUCAAGGGAAUUUUCUGAAUGAAUAUUCAACUGAAAAUAUUUAAAUAGAAAAGAAGAUGAGUAUGCUGUGUGUGUAUGUACGAGGAGAUGCAGAGUGACACGAAGUAACAAGUAAAGAACAAUAUGAGAAGAGAGACCACUGAAGAAUGAAAAAACUUUGUAUUUUAUCUUUUUAACAGCACAUUUUUUUCAUGCUAUUUGAACAAGGGGCUGCACAUGAUAAUUUUGCCCUGGGC